CUUCCAGAUCCAUGAAAGGAUACAUUUCCGUUCUUUUAAGCCACCCAGUUUCUAGUUAUGUUUCAGCAACCACAGGAAAUUAAUACACCUUUCAAACUGCUUUCAGAGUAGUCAAUCUAGCUCAUCAAAGAUUUCUUGAGCUCCUCCUUCACACCAGGUACUGGGCUACCUUUUGGGGACACAGAGAGGAAAAACUAUCUUUCCUGUCCUCACAGAAUUUACAAGGUAGUCAUUUCAUUUAUUCCAAUUAAAAAAAUUUUUUUUAUUUUUUAUUGAAGUAUAGUUGAUUUACAAUGUUGUAUUAGUUUCUGGUUAGAUUCAUAAUCUUUUCCAUUAUGGUUUAUUAUAAGAUAUUGAAUAUAGUUCCCUGUGUCAUUUCUUCCAUUUUUCAGAGGAGUCAAAUUCUUAUUUCUGUAGAAUUAAAUGUUCUGGUUGCUAUGGCCAAUGCAAGGAGAGAAUUUCACAGGAAAUAGGAGUAACACAAUGAAGAAGGCAUCAGCUAACCACCCUUGUCUCUCAUUCCUAUGCAAUUAAACUCCAAAUUCUGCCUCCCAUCCAUUUCUAUGGUUUAAUGUCCCUCUACAUCUUGGAUAUUUCAUGUCAAAUUUCUCAGCUGAGCCCCCGGACGAACCAUUGUCAACUCUCUUACCUUGGUUCCAUGUCCAGGAUGCUCCUUCCCACUCUCUGUCUAGCCAACUUUCAUUUAUCCUUCAGAGCCUUCUCUGUAAGGCUUUUCUUGUUUCAUUUAUUGCAGAGAAAAUUACAUUGCCUUGUAAUAAUCUGUUGUCAAAUGUUCUCCAAUGAGGCUGUAAGCUAAGCAGGAUGCUGGGAUUGUAUCUUCUGAUGAAGUCACCAGACCACAUCUGUAGCACCAGCAAAGUCUGCCCAUACAACAGUUGAUAAUUGCCUGGUGAAAUGAAUGAAUUAUUGAAGGAAGGAAGGAGGGAAAGAAGGAAGGAAGGAAGGAAUGGAAAAGCUUAGGACACUCUGGUCAGAAGAUCACCUAAAUUUGGACAGAGCUUCUCACAGUAGUGGGGUGCCCUGAAGAUUAAUGAGAAGAUUUUUCUAAAUACCCUGAAAGCCCCUGGGACUGUGGUUGAGUAAGCAUCAGGUGGUGCCCACGGCCGGCUCUGUUGGCACAUACAAAAAUGGAAGAAAGUUCAAAAGGAGAGUUGGAGCCUUAAAAACACACCCCAAGGCUGUUAUUCGGUUGGCGUGGGUGUUAUAUAGGUCUCUGGAUGCAACUGGCUGAGAGCAAGGCGACGAUGACGUGUAGGGCGGAAAUUAACCCACAGCCUUCCCAGCAGGCUCUGCGCGCCCGGGACGACAUGUGAGAUGAAAGUUGUCGCGGGAAGUUGAACGAAUCCCUGAACGAGUAGCGACCCGGAAGUCCCUAGAGAAACGCCAUCCUAAGUUGUUUGAAGGUUUUAUUAAUGGCAAGCAGGACAUUCAAGUUUUUCACUGAAGAACUCAGAAAGUAUCAGCAGAGUAUAAUGAAAAGGACCUUGGACGUUCUCUCUCCACCAUCCCAAUCUUUCCUGUUGCACUUUAUCUCCAAUUGAAAACAUUCAGGCAACAGUUUAUUCCUAGGGACUUCUCUGGUGGUCCGGUGGUUAAGAAUCCGCCUUGCACUGCAGGGGAUGAAGGUUUGAUCCCUGGGGAACUCAGAUCCCACAGGCCAUGGAGCAACUAAGACUGAGCGCCACAACUAGAGGGUCUGAGUGCUGCAAGGGAAGAUCCCACGUGCCACAAGACCCGAGGCAACCAAAAAAAAAAAAAAGUUUAUUCCGGGUGUCAAGAGCCCAGAGUUCAUCUCUCAUUUACUUGAAUUUUCAUGAAAGC
ensembl:lncRNA